rnacentral:rRNA from 1 species
GAUGAACGCUGGCGGCGUGCCUAAUACAUGCAAGUCGAGCGAACAGACGAGGAGCUUGCUCCUCUGACGUUAGCGGCGGACGGGUGAGUAACACGUGGAUAACCUACCUAUAAGACUGGGAUAACUUCGGGAAACCGGAGCUAAUACCGGAUAAUAUAUUGAACCGCAUGGUUCAAUAGUGAAAGACGGUUUUGCUGUCACUUAUAGAUGGAUCCGCGCCGCAUUAGCUAGUUGGUAAGGUAACGGCUUAUCAAGGCAACGAUGCGUAGCCGACCUGAGAGAGUGAUCGGCCACACUGGAACUGAGACACGGUCCAGACUCCUACGGGAGGCAGCAGUAGGGAAUCUUCCGCAAUGGGCGAAAGCCUGACGGAGCAACGCCGCGUGAGUGAUGAAGGUCUUCGGAUCGUAAAACUCUGUUAUUAGGGAAGAACAAAUGUGUAAGUAACUAUGCACGGCUUGACGGUACCUAAUCAGAAAGCCACGGCUAACUACGUG